GUUCAGAAAUAGGGCGCUGGCUUUGCCAGGAGCGGCUCCUCUCCAAGCCUGGCGGUCACUGCCCUGUGUCCCCUUUUGGGCCUCUCCUGGUCCUCCUGGUUGGAUUAGGAGGCCUCUCAGCCCGGAGUCUGGGUCGCCGAAGUACAGGCCCCUUCACUGAAGCGACCCACGGCGCAGGGGUUUCUGGAAGCCAUCGCCAGGCUCCGAGUGUUCAGAUGCAGCUGCCAGGCUCAGGACGCAGAGAACUGGCUUCCAGCUCGCAGGAGCGCCUGUCCGUGGUGGGUAGGGUCGCAGGCGUGGGGUGUGCAGGAGCAGUGGGACAGCACUGAAACGCAGUCGCUCUGGCAUAUAAAGAGCUCGGAAGCCUUCAUUCCCAUCUUCACAACAACAAAAUCAUUCAACAAACUGAAAAUCAACUUUUCUUAGAUCCAUCAGAGAACUGAAGAUAGAAAGGAAGAGAUACCACGGUGUGCAGGCACAGGGAAAAGACCACGUGAGGACACAGAGAGAAGACGGCCGUCUGCAAGCCAAGGAGAGAGGCCUCAGGUGAAACCAAACCUGCAGGCACCUUGAUCUUGGACUUCCAGCCUCCAGAAGCUUGAGAAAAGAAAUUUCUGUUGUUUAAGACACCCAUUCUGUGGUAUUUGUUCUGGCAGCCCUAACAAACUAAUAUAGGGAUCUAAAGAUUCCUUGUCUUCAUUUUGAGUAAGAGACUAUAAACUCAGAACUGUGGAGAUCUAGUUAGGUAUUGUACAGCUAGCCUCAUUCUGUCUUAAACUCCAGGUAAAAGAGAAAAAUAUGGAGACAGCCCCUGACUUUGGAGAACUUGCAGUUUUGUGGAGGUGAAAGGAGGCAGCCACAAGAAAAACCCCUGACAUCAAUUCAAAACUAUAAAUAACAAAGACUAACUUGUUCUAUGCACAACAGGUACUACAGCACUGUCCAACAUGGGGACAUGUGAGUGGCCUGAAGCAGCACAAGAACUGGGCAAUAAACUUGAGAUGAACCUCAAAGCAUCAAUAUUAUUCAUGACUAAACUGGGUUCUAAGAAUUUCUAUUUUUACUCUCAGUGUUCAGUAGAGGUCAUUAAAAAAAAAUCUAGCAAUUUUUUUUUCUAAAAUGAAUAUGUAAUAAGAAUGAAAAACAAAAAGCACUAUAAUGUUUUUAAUUAAUGAAAUGCCUUUACGAACCAAGGUGCCAUCUUGGAGAAGCUAGGCAUUAUGAGGAGCUAUCAGGAGCACAUUUGCUAACAGCUUGGCAUGAGCAGGAUUUUCUUGACCAACUGGCAAGAUGGGGCUGCUCAGCUCCUGCUGGCAGAUUUUUAUGGAGCAUAGUUUUACAAAUUCAGCCUACAACUCUGAUACGUUCCAAUGUAUUUUAAACAUCUAUUCAGUUGCAACUCUAAUCCCAGGAACCUGUGGCUAACAGAAGGCAGAUUUAACUGACUAGCAGCUGUGGGAUUUUCAAAGUCUAAACUGAAAUGAACAUGCGAAACAGUUGGACUACCCCAAAAGCUGAAUUACAAUUCCAGCACUCACCAGCUCUGAAACCUCACUUGGUUACCUAACGCCUCUGUGCCUCAGUUCCCCAGCUAUAAAAUGGAAAAGGCAACAAUACCAACCUUGUAGAUUAUGUUUUGGAUUAAAUGAGGCAACACAUACACAGCACUUAGAACGUGCAAGGCACAAUGGAAGCAUGCAGUGAACAUGACUUGUAAUGAUGCUGACUGUCAUAACUCUCAUCCAUAGGGAUGCUGCCUCUGCUUGUCACCCUUGACCUAUAUAUUUUCAGGCAGUCCUCACCCAGUCCCCAUUUGUGUGUUCUAGAUAGAAAAGGCCCCAUACUAUGAAAUGACUACUGUCCUUCUGCAUGAAGCCUGGUGAACCUGAUAAUGUAGCCUUCAAGUUCCCUUACUGAGCCUUGAGCUCCCUUCAAAGUAUCCAAGCCAACCCUGUCUUGGGAAACUCACCUAGAUAAUGCCCUGAACCCCAAUAAAGGCUCCAGCCCACAGGUCCCUCCCUCUCUCUUGGUCCCCACCCUUUGGCUGGGCAUGUGUGUCCUCAAUGUCUCCAAGCCCUUCCAGUAAGCCCUGCAAGGUGUGCUGGCCAC
ensembl:lncRNA ZNF470-DT ZNF470 divergent transcript